AUCGUAUAUGUGUAUACUCAGUUCUUAAUGUUGAUAGUUCUUAGAAGCUGUAACUGUAAGUGAAGCAACAUAUUGUUUAAGAAAAUGAAUUUUACCAUAGUUUAACUGAUACAAAAGAAAGGUAUUUGAAUGGCAUAUAGCAGUGUUGUUUCAUUUAAAAAAAAGCCCACAGUUUUCAAGAACCUAUUUUGAACAUUAAGUGAGGACUUACUCUAUGACUGUGUUUGUGUGGCAUGGAUUUUUCAGAUAAAUAAAAAUUGUAUAACUAUAUAUUUAAUGUGUACAAUGUAAUGAUUUGAUAUGUGUAUACGUUGUGAAAUAAAAUAUAGUCAAGUUGAUGAACACAUCUAUUACCUUACAUGGAUAACCUUUUUUUU
rnacentral:lncRNA from 10 species